GACGAACGCUGGCGGCGUGCUUAACACAUGCAAGUCGAACGGAAAGGCCCUGCUUUUGUGGGGUGCUCGAGUGGCGAACGGGUGAGUAACACGUGAGUAACCUGCCCUUGACUUUGGGAUAACUUCAGGAAACUGGGGCUAAUACCGGAUAGGAGCUCCUGCUGCAUGGUGGGGGUUGGAAAGUUUCGGCGGUUGGGGAUGGACUCGCGGCUUAUCAGCUUGUUGGUGGGGUAGUGGCUUACCAAGGCUUUGACGGGUAGCCGGCCUGAGAGGGUGACCGGCCACAUUGGGACUGAGAUACGGCCCAGACUCCUACGGGAGGCAGCAGUGGGGAAUAUUGCACAAUGGGCGGAAGCCUGAUGCAGCAACGCCGCGUGCGGGAUGACGGCCUUCGGGUUGUAAACCGCUUUCGCCUGUGACGAAGCGUGAGUGACGGUAAUGGGUAAAGAAGCACCGGCUAACUACGUGCCAGCAGCCGCGGUGAUACGUAGGGUGCGAGCGUUGUCCGGAUUUAUUGGGCGUAAAGGGCUCGUAGGUGGUUGAUCGCGUCGGAAGUGUAAUCUUGGGGCUUAACCCUGAGCGUGCUUUCGAUACGGGUUGACUUGAGGAAGGUAGGGGAGAAUGGAAUUCCUGGUGGAGCGGUGGAAUGCGCAGAUAUCAGGAGGAACACCAGUGGCGAAGGCGGUUCUCUGGGCCUUUCCUGACGCUGAGGAGCGAAAGCGUGGGGAGCGAACAGGCUUAGAUACCCUGGUAGUCCACGCUGUAAACGGUGGGUACUAGGUGUGGGGUCCAUUCCACGGGUUCCGUGCCGUAGCUAACGCUUUAAGUACCCCGCCUGGGGAGUACGGCCGCAAGGCUAAAACUCAAAGGAAUUGACGGGGCCCCGCACAAGCGGCGGAGCAUGCGGAUUAAUUCGAUGCAACGCGUAGAACCUUACCUGGGUUUGACAUGGAUCGGGAGCGCUCAGAGAUGGGUGUGCCUCUUUUGGGGUCGGUUCACAGGUGGUGCAUGGCUGUCGUCAGCUCGUGUCGUGAGAUGUUGGGUUAAGUCCCGCAACGAGCGCAACCCUUGUUCACUGUUGCCAGCACGUUAUGGUGGGGACUCAGUGGAGACCGCCGGGGUCAACUCGGAGGAAGGUGGGGAUGGCGUCAAGUCAUCAUGCCCCUUAUGUCCAGGGCUUCACGCAUGCUACAAUGGCUGGUACAGAGAGUGGCGAGCCUGUGAGGGUGAGCGAAUCUCGGAAAGCCGGUCUCAGUUCGGAUUGGGGUCUGCAACUCGACCUCAUGAAGUCGGAGUCGCUAGUAAUCGCAGAUCGGCAACGCUGCGGUGAAUACGUUCCCGGGGCU
rnacentral:rRNA from 1 species